UACGUAGGGUGCAAGCGUUGUCCGGAAUUAUUGGGCGUAAAGAGCUCGUAGGCGGUUUGUCGCGUCUGCUGUGAAAACCCGAGGCUCAACCUCGGGCCUGCAGUGGGUACGGGCAGACUAGAGUGCGGUAGGGGAGAUUGGAAUUCCUGGUGUAGCGGUGGAAUGCGCAGAUAUCAGGAGGACACCAAUGGCGAAGGCAGAUCUCUGGGACGGUACUGACGCUGAGACGCGAAAGCGUGGGGAGCGAACAGG
rnacentral:rRNA from 1 species